GAUGAACGCUGGCGGAGUGCCUAACACAUGCAAGUCGGAGCGGCAGCACGAGUAGUUUACUACUUGGUGGCGAGCGGCGGACGGCUGAGUAACGCGUGGGAACAUGCCCCAAAGUGAGGAAUAACUGCCCGAAAGGGUAGCUAAUGCCGCAUAUGAUCUUCAGAUUAAAGGAUUUUAAUCCGCUUUUGGGGAGUUGGCCC
rnacentral:rRNA from 1 species